UACGGAGGGUGCGAGCGUUGCUCGGAAUUAUUGGGCGUAAAGCGUACGCAGGCGGCUCGGCAAGUCGAGUGUGAAAUCCCGGGGCUCAACUCCGGAACUGCAUUCGAUACUGCCGGGCUUGAGUGCGGGAGAGGGAAGCGGAAUUCCUGGUGUAGAGGUGAAAUUCGUAGAUAUUCGGAAGAACACCAGUGGCGAAGGCGGCUCACUGGACUGGUAUUGACGCUGAGGUGCGAAGGCGUGGGGAGCAAACAGG
rnacentral:rRNA from 1 species